UACAGAGGUCCCAAGCGUUGUUCGGAUUCAUUGGGCGUAAAGGGUGUGUAGGUGGCGCCGUAAGUCGGGUGUGAAAUCUCGGAGCUUAACUCCGAAACUGCAUUCGAUACUGCCGUGCUUGAGGACUGGAGAGGAGACUGGAAUUUACGGUGUAGCGGUGAAAUGCGUAGAUAUCGUAAGGAAGACCAGUGGCGAAGGCGGGUCUCUGGACAGUUCCUGACGCUGAGGCACGAAGGCCAGGGGAGCAAACGGG
rnacentral:rRNA from 1 species